rnacentral:lncRNA from 1 species
UCAGAAGUAUAUAACAACUUCCGAAUUUUAAUGAAAAUUAUAAUAACUGUCGCAAGAUUUUAAACAAAUACAACCCGGAAUUCAAAUCAGCACUAACAUUAAUAUACAAGCCCACGUAUAUUUAAUCGACAAUUACCUAUAAUUGGAUCAAUAAAAUAUCAAAGAUUAUUAUUAUUAUCAUUAUUAUCAUUGUCAAUAAAACAAUAAUAAUAAUUAAUAAUAAUGGUAAAAUUAAUAUCUUAUUCUAUUCUAGUCUCCAUAAUGGCUCUGCUAAACCCGCUCGAACCACAGGAAUCCUUCAUCUGCAACUAAACCCCCACCUGCUGGAACUAGAUUAUAUCGUUAUCAACUAUCCACUACCUCUUUCUCCCAGCCAAUCACGUCAUGAACAUCACCUCCCUGUACCCCUGUUGCUGCCGACCCCUGGACUGCAAUAGGCUGGCCAGAUUCCGGCUGUUCCACUAUUGUCUAUACCUCCCGUCAAAUCCAACCAACGCUCAAUUGCUCCAUUAAUACUAGCUUUGCAAUCUCCCUAAUUCAGUCAUCACCUUCAUCCUUUUCAUAAGCCAAAAGUCCUUGAAAACCCCCUGGUCCAAUUGAUUCCGAAACACACCCAACAAUAAACCAACAAUCACCAUUGUCAUGAAACCUCCGACUGCUACUGUUUGCCCCAACGUCACUGCAACCAAUCUCAGCCAACCAUCUCUGCCAAUAGCCGCUAACAUGUCCAAUACUACACCUCCCCCAUCUGUUUUUCCCACCUUCUACUACCGCCUAACAUUCUAUCUAUUCCUUGACGCCUCCAUUCUCUGUUUACGCCAGCAAUCAAUUUACAAGCACUACUAUCCCCUGUAUUUCAGCCACGCUUUUAUUCAAGCGAUUCGCGUCCUCAGUUUCCGUAUACAAUUCUUGCACCCCUGUUCUAGCACCCAGCACCUCCGUUGAGUAAUUCCUUCCGCCACCAGCCACUACAAUCGCUGCUCAACACUACAACUCCGCUAGCUUCUCUCUCACGGACAUUUAAUCAAACAGCUAGCCCGCAUCUCUCUUUUCAUCAGCCCUGUAACCACCACCGCCCGCU